AUUGAACGCUGGCGGCAGGCUUAACACAUGCAAGUCGAGCGAGCGGCGGACGGGUGAGAAAUGUCUGGGAAACUGCCUGAUGGAGGGGGAUAACUACUGGAAACGGUAGCUAAUACCGCAUACCAUCAGAUGUGCCCAGAUGGGAUUAGCUAGUAGGUGGGGUAAUGGCCCACCUAGGCGACGAUCCCUAGCUGGUCUGAGAGGAUGACCAGCCACACUGUAACUGAGACACGGUCCAGACUCCUACGGGAGGCAGCAGUGGGGAAUAUUGCGCAAUGGGCGCAAGCCUGAUGCAGCCAUGCCGCGUGUGUGAAGAAGGCCUUAUGGUUGUAAAGCACUGUAAGCGAGGAGGCGUUACUCGCAGAAUAAGCACCGGCUAACUCUGUGCCAGCAGCCGCGGUAAUUC
rnacentral:rRNA from 1 species